rnacentral:sRNA from 2 species
CGGGCUGUCAUUGGGGAGUAGCCGCCCUUCUUCAUUGAGAGGGGCUUGCGUCAACAGACUUGUGGUGCCGGCAACGGCACCCAUGGCGCAAGCAGAGCCCGUUUCGCGGGUUUUGGCGAGACCUUUGACUGCACGCCUCUGAUUUCGGCCGGGGGUGUCGUGCAGUCAUGGGUAGGUCCCCGGCCAUGGACUCU